rnacentral:rRNA from 1 species
UACGUAGGGGGCAAGCGUUGUCCGGAUUUAUUGGGCGUAAAGAGCGUGUAGGCGGCCAUACAGGUCAGCUGUGAAAACUCGAGGCUCAACCUCGAGACGUCGGUUGAAACCGUAUGGCUAGAGUCCGGAAGAGGAGAGUGGGAUUCCCGGUGUAGCGGUGAAAUGCGCAGAUAUCGGGAAGAACACCCGUGGCGAAGGCGGCUCUCUGGGACGGUACUGACGCUGAGACGCGAAAGCGUGGGGAGCGAACAGG